rnacentral:rRNA from 1 species
UACGUAGGGUGCGAGCGUUAAUCGGAAUUACUGGGCGUAAAGCGUGCGCAGGCGGUUUUGUAAGCCAGAUGUGAAAUCCCCGGGCUUAACCUGGGAAUGGCAUUUGGGACUGCAAGGCUCGAGUGCGGCAGAGGAGACUGGAAUUCCUGGUGUAGCAGUGAAAUGCGUAGAUAUCAGGAGGAACACCAAUGGCGAAGGCAGCUCGCUGGAACGGUACUGACACUCAAGUGCGAAAGCGUGGGGAGCAAACAGG